CGUACACUCCUGCGGGAGGCAGCAGUGGGGAAUAUUGGACAAUGGGCGCAAGCCUGAUCCAGCCAUGCCGCGUGAGUGAUGAAGGCCCUAGGGUUGUAAAGCUCUUUCACCGGUGAAGAUAAUGACGGUAACCGGAGAAGAAGCCCCGGCUAACUUCGUGCCAGCAGCCGCGGUAAUACGAAGGGGGCUAGCGUUGUUCGGAUUUACUGGGCGUAAAGCGCACGUAGGCGGACUAUUAAGUCAGGGGUGAAAUCCCGGGGCUCAACCCCGGAACUGCCUUUGAUACUGGUAGUCUUGAGUUCGAGAGAGGUGAGUGGAAUUCCGAGUGUAGAGGUGAAAUUCGUAGAUAUUCGGAGGAACACCAGUGGCGAAGGCGGCUCACUGGCUCGAUACUGACGCUGAGGUGCGAAAGCGUGGGGAGCAAACAGGAUUAGAAACCCUGGUAGUCCCAUGAU
rnacentral:rRNA from 1 species